ensembl:lncRNA novel transcript
GGAAGACAACAGGGGUAAUGUGCCAUUUUCGUCAUAUCAUAUCAAGAAUACAUAGUAUCUCUGGGCAUGGUGGCAGUCCAUAAAAAUUAGCUGGGUGUGGUGGCAGGCUGCUCAGGAGGCUGAGGCAGGGGAAUUGCUUGAACCCAGGAGGCAGAGGCUGCAGUAGGCCAAGACUGUGCCACUGCACUCCAGCCUGGGUGACACAGCGAGACUCCAUCUCAAAAAAGAAACACAUGAUAUUGACCUUCACCACCUGGCCACCUGGUAGUAUUUGUCAGGUUUCCCCACUGUAAAGUAAUUCCCACCUGCCUUCCACACUGAGCUCUUUGGAAGGAAGUCACUGUGUGCAGCCAAGAAGGAGCAGGGAGUUAUGCCUCACUGCUUUGAGGAUGGAGUAUCUACGUAAAUUAUUUGGAAUUCUUCUCUAUGGAGGGAUUUAUCUCUUGCCUCCCAAUUAUUUAUUUAUUCAAUCCAUUUAUUUGUGUUAGUAUAGACUCAUGGAUAUUUAUUUUAUACAUUGGGUUUUAAUCCAAUAUGACUUUAUUUUAUUGCUAAAAUUGUUUCAGCUUUGGCCAUUGGGAGCUCUUUCAGGUGGCUCCUAUGUUCCUAUUUAAUUGCUGUAUAAUAAUUGUACAUAUUAAUGUGGUACAUGUGUCAUUUUGAUCCGAGCAUAUAAUGUGUACUCAAAUCAGGGUAAUUGGGAUAUCCAUCACCUCAAAUUUAUCAUUUCUGUGUGUUGGGAACAUUCCAAAUCUUCCUUUCUUGCUAUUUUGAAAUACACAGUAAGUUCUUGUUAACUAUAGUCAUUGUACUGUGCUAUCAAACACGAGAACUUAUUUCUUUUAUCUAACUGUAUUUUUGUACCCAUUAACCAACUUCUCUUCCUGCCUCCCCCUCACCCUUUCCUGGCCUCUGGUAACCACCAAUCUACUAUCUUCUUGAGAUCCACUUUUUAGCUCUCCCAUGAGAGUGAGAACAUGUGAUAUUUGUGUUUCUGUGCCUGAUUUAUUUCAUUUAACAUAAUGUCUUCCUGUUUCAUUCAUGUUGCUGCAAGUGACAAGAUUUCAUUCCUUUUCAUGGCUGAAUAGUACUUUAUUGUGUCUAUAUGCCACAUUUUUUAAUCCAUUCAUCUGUUGAUGGAUACUUAGGUUGAUUCUACAUUUUUGCUAUUGUGAAUAGUGCUGCAGUAAAUAUGGGAGUGCAGAUAUCUCUGGUAUACUGGUUUCCUUUCUUUUGGAUAGAUACCCAGUAGCAGGAUUCCUGGAUCAUAUGGUGGCUCUAUUUUUAGCUUUCUGAGGAACCUCCACACUGUUUUCCAUAGUGGUUAUACUAAUUUAUAUUUUCACCUAUGUGUACAAGCUUGCCCUUUCUUCAUGGCCUCAAGCAUGUUAUUUUCUGUCUUUUUGAUCAUAGCCAUUUUAACUGGAGUGAGAUGAUAUCUCAUUGUGGUUUUGAUCUGCAUUUCCAUGCUAAUUAGUGAUGUUGUGUUCCUUUGAUAUAUCCCCAUCAUUGAGACUUUUCUUUUGAGCACUUGCUUAUUUCCUGGCAUAAUAAGAUGUUCCAGGCUCAUCUUGUAUAUUUUCUGCUCCAGUGCUAGAAUCAGCCAUUUCUCCAAUGAGCUUUUGGGAGAUAUUUGCUUUCUUGAUUACAGUUAGGAUUUUCUCAUAAGGGAAGUUUGUUGAUGGCCUGCAAACAAAUAGUAAAAUAGUAUGUGAUGUCAUGAAAAUUAAUUGUAUUUUUCCUUCUAGAUUUUGCAUAUAGAAGACGGUAAUUUUAAAAACAGUGAAAGAAGAAAUGUAUCUGAGAAUUCAAUCAGUCAAUAGACUUUAGACAUCUGAAAAGAAAACACAAGAGGUUCGGUUGGUGCAAUGUUCCUUUCUUCCCAGGACUUUCUGGUCUUCAAGGCUUUCUCAUGAGACAGAAGACUGAUGGAUGUAGAAGUUUCUAAGAGGACAGUUACGCUGCCAUGUUUUGAAGCAGGAAGACGUUACCACUUCUCAAAGGUCUUUAAUUGCCUGACCACUGCUUCUCUUUGGAAGGCUGUCAGGGUGAUGGAAUCUCAGAUCACAGCACAGAUAAAAUGGACAAAGAAAGAAAGAUACAAGAAGGAUGUAAAAAUGUCCAUAAUGAACUCAUGUAUCUUGCGGAAACCUCUAAUCUAAUGAGAAUGGAUUUUGUUGAGAAGAUUGUACACCAACAAUUAAUUAUUCAUGGCAGAGACAUCAUUAAGAUUUCAUUUUGUUUAAAGGCCUCUAAGUGACUUAGGAAAUUAGGUUAAGCUAGAGAAGAAUUUCAAGAAAGAGACAAGGGAAAGCUUUUCGUUAUAUUGACUUUUUCUAAUAUUUUCCAGAUAGAUAUUUUGACUUGGUACAUAAAUUAUACUCUGACUAAAAAUCUCCAAUGAUUUGUCUGAGUAAGAGUCUUCACAUGGGUGGAUCAUAUACCAGUGUGGUCAGAUGGAAGCAGAUGGACAGAGAUUUGUGAAAGGAUUAGGAGGUUCAUUCCAGAAUUCUAUAAUAAUUCAAUUUGGCUUUUUGGUUAGGAAUGUAGUGAGGAGUCUCCUUGAAAUGACAAUGGGAUUUGUGCAACCUGUGACAUUUUGCACUCAAGGAUCCUUUUCCCAGUGCCCUAUGGGAUGUGAGCACCUGUUCACUUACAGUACAUGUAAGAUAAGACACUUUUAAUAAAA